UCCGAUAUGGUGUAGUGGUUAACAUCGUCCGCUUUCAAUAGUAGAUUUCAAGAUCUGCUAAGAUGGUCCGGACAGCCCCGGGUUCGAUUCCCGGUAUCGGAA